CAGCAUCUGGGGAGGGAAGGGCACAGUCAGGAGGGCUGCGCCUGCAGGGCUGCCCGCAACUGCGCCCGCCUCGGGGACUAUCUAGUGCUUUUAAGUACAUUCCUAAAAGAGACCAUAAAUGAAACAGUGCCUAGGGGAUUCCUCCCCCACCCAGGCUUGCUCCUCAGAGGUACUUUAACCCCUUCAGCCGAUUCUUUUGGCUCUUCCUCCCUAAUUUUAAUUUAUUUACACCAGCAUUUAGAGAUCUGUCGCCUUUAGACAUUACUUUCCUCCACAUUUUUUUCCUUAAAUGGCUUUACAGAGAGAUAAUUCACAGACCAUACAGUUCACCCACUGAAAGCGUACAGUUCCAUGGUUUUCACUAUAGUCACAGAAUUGUGUAACCUUCAUCACAAUUUUAGAGCAUUUUCAUCACUUCACAAAGCAGCCCCCUUGACCCAUCAGCAGCCAGCCGCCGCCUCCCCUCAGCCCUAGGCAACUACUUAACUACUCUGUCGCUGUGGAUUUGUCUAUUUUGGAAGUUUCCCGGAGUGGACCCCGACAACCUGUGGUCCUCUGUGACGCUCCUUUCACCCAGAGUUGUUUGUUUGCUUUUGGCCAGUGAGACUAUCAGGAGAUUGAAGCUCCGCUGUGGCAGCUCGAACAAUCUUCCUUAAACGUAACGCUUCACCGACAGAGACCGAGAUGUUCAGGUGUGGUGGGCACGGUGGACACGGGCCUGGAGUGGAGGUGCCUGGGUUCCGGCCCCUGCGGCAGGGCGGUCCCCACUGCUGAGCUCCGGAGCCUGCCCUCCUGUUCCCGAGCGGAGGGAGCAUUCACAGGUCAUGUGUCAGACCACAACUCACCGGUGGACUGGGUCACACAGGAGAUCUUGUAGGACAGCCACACGCUCGCCAGACAGAGGAAGGUGGCCAGGAACCCGAAGAUCUGCAUGGAGAGAGGGGAGAGGAGGUGCCCAGGCCAGCCACUCGGGCAGCCCUUCCCGCUGCUCCUGUCUGUGCCCGUUCCUGCACCGACCAGGGCCUCAUCUGAGCCGGUCACCUGUCCUGGCUCAGGCGCACAGGCGAGGCCCACCCCAGCCCCAGCUGGGACGCAGCCAGGCUCCCCAGGGCUCUUCUCUAGAGUUUUAAGUUUAUUACUUAGCUGGGGCCAAGGCCCUGGACUUUAUCCUGGGCAAACGGGAAAGAAAAAGGAGGAACUGUACAUUUUAUUUUGGGGUCUUAAGCGUGGCUGCCCUGUCUGCACUUCAUCCACAAGGGCUGCACAGCUGUAUCAGAGCCAGGAGCUGGGCCUUGGGAGCGGGUGUUAGGUUUGCGCCUAGUUGGGUAAUACUGGACUGAGCGAGCUCAGGUGGCACGCCUUUCCUCUCUAGGCUGUGAGGACCGAGUCCAGCGCAGCCUCAUCCUCUGUAGGCGAGAAAGAGGGCCUCCCGGGAGGCUCAUCAAAUGAUGAGCAGCAGACAUGGACUCUGGUGUCUCGCCGGGACCUCGGCAGCCUUUCCUGACGCGUCAGCCGCAGCCGCAGCCGCUGCGAGGUCCUGAGGCCUGACCGUGUCCGCACCAAGCAGUGUUCUAAGCUGCCCUCCCGUUCACCCUCAUAGCUCUGCCGGGCGGGCGCUGUGAGCCCCCUCUCCCCUUUUACAGCAGAAGAAACGAGGGACAGGAGGUCAACUGCAUAGCCUGAGGCCACAGCGCCGGCGAGGGUGACUCCGGAAUCUGAGUCCACCUCCACUCCGUGUGCUGCCCACGUGUCGUCAGGCUCGCUGGGUGCACAGCCAGGAGCCCCUCCCCGUCCGGCAGACCGGGAGCAGCCAGGACAAGGCAGGAUUUUCCAAGCUCUGUUUCCUCAAGCCCCUCAUUUGCCCGCAUUCCACCAAGGUCCUCGGUAACAGGUACAGCAGCGAGAGGACUCUGAGCUUGAAGCCUGCCGAGGUGCAGUGUUCUGCUCCACAGAUCAGAGCAGGAGUGCGGCUCUGACAGAGGGACCCUCGACAUUUGCAUGUUUCCCUUUGCUAAUGAGCAAUGGUCUGCUCUUUCUGGUGGUGACACAGAUAACUGGGAGUUUCCCCACCAACAGAAGGCGCCUGGGCAGGCCUUCCCCUCCGCGCCCCGGGGUGGAGUGCCCUGCUCGAGCCCGCGGUGAAGUAAGACUUCCCGGAUUUUGACCACUGGGCCUGGGGCCGCCCACCAUGUGUGGCUCUUUAGAAAAGCCCCAUUUGGACAAUCUCAUUUACACAGUGGGUGGUGUGUGUUUGCACACGCUCCUGAAAGCUUCCUUUUGCCCGAGGAGUGGUUCUUUAGCUAGCCAGCAUCUUAGCUAGAGCGCUCAGAAAAGAGAGUGUUGACUGACUCAACACUUUCCAGGAACUCUUCCAGGCGGUAACCUCCGCAGAUGCUCAAGACCCUGAAUCACCUAGAUCGAUGAUUUGGGGGCAGCCAGAAAGGAACGAGACAAUGGGAAGACAACGAGAGACAAGGCCUGGGGUGGGGGCGCCCCCUGCCCCACCAGCCCUCUCAGGACGUCUCCCUGUUCUGGUCAGAGAAACCGAAGCAAAGAAGGCUGGAGGCUUCUGGAAGACAGAUACGGUUCUGUUUAGACUGACGUCACCAUCAGAAGGACGAACCUGUCCCUCAGGAUGUCUUCCUAGCUCCUCUCAUACAGGUUUUUCUUUUACAAUGAACUGUCUUGCUAGUUGAAAAUAAAGUAUCUAACAUAAA